GUUCGGAAGUGCAAUUGUCCAAACACCCCCAUUAGAAUCCAAUAGAGUUAGAAAUAAGUAAAUAGGGAAAAAACUCUCCCCCUAACUCAUCUUCAUUAGGUAUCCGCCCUAACAACUACACCGCCCAAUGCCGGCCCCCUUUUUGUUUUUUUCAUUUUUCCAGCUGAAAUGGAGAAUGAGGAAGAGGCAUAUUUCACGUUUGUGCGUGAAUCUGACAACCCUUCUCAUCAUCAUAAUGAUGAUUGAUGGGUGUGUGUCUGUUAGAUUCACGCACAAACUCGUAAUAUGUUUUUUCCAAUCUCUGCUCCUUUGAUUUGUGGUCAACUCUGCCCCAGUAGAAGAGAUUUUUUGUGAUUGGGAGCUGUGACGUUUGACCUCUUUUCCCAUCUGGGUUUCCGUGUUCUUUACUGAUUUGAUUCAUUCUUUCUUGGGAUUGGGAAUAUCUUGUUAGCCACGAAGCUUUUCAGGUGAAUCGAGUAAUUUUGAUUGUUAUGUUUCACUUGCUUAAGUUCAUGGUCUCCCAAGCUGUUUUGCUCAGGCUCUUCAAAACUGAUGCCGCACCCAUAUCAGAUUCUUAAAAAAUAGACUACUUUUGGAGAAUCCGACAUGUACCUGUUGCCAUAUUUGAAGAGUCCGAGCAAUAUAGCGCCCAAUGUAAUUCCGGUGAACAGUUUAAGAGUAGCUCUCAUUCAACAAACUGAAGAUGGUAACAAUUAAAUUGGAAGUACCAAUUUAAAAAGGAAACUGGUCUUUUUCUUCUGACACGGCAUAAACAUCUCUCAUUUCCACAAAGAGUUCACUAAUACUUAGAACAGGUUCGAAAAUGAUGGAACAGAUAUGAUAACAACUUCGUUAGUGAAUGGAGGAAGCAGGAGGCAGGUAGAAUGCCAAUGGCAUCAACUACUUAAUGGAUAAGAACAGAUGGUGAAUUCAAAGUCCAUCAGUAGAUAUAUGAGGCAUUUGACAUGCAGUUUUAGUUAACAAUUGUCAAAUUAUCUUGAUCUCAAAACUCUAUUUUGUUUUUCUUACUAAAUGAAUGUUCCUGGCUCCAAA